CCUCAGUGUCCACAUCUCCCCAAGACCUGUGACACAGCCAGGCACCCGGUGCUGUCCCACGGAUGUGUGUAAUCACACACGACACUGUGUGAGGUGCCCGUGCACCCACCCCAGGACCAUGACCGCCUCAUGGACUCCGAGGUCUCGCGACAACCUCGCUCCUGCUUCCUCUUUCCCAGGUGACCAGCUCGACUCCUGAGACUCACUAAGCACACACUUUUUGCUGCCGCUGAGGUUCAUUAAGCCUGCUUGAGAAUGAGGCCCGUUCAGAAGCAAGCAGGUCCCAGAGUCAGAGCCUUCAACCUAAGAAGUGAUUUGGGUGCCUUGAUCCAGCCACACCUGUGACCAUUCC
ensembl:lncRNA